UGGGGAAUAUUGCACAAUGGAGGGAACUCUGAUGCAGCGACGCCGCGUGAACGAAGAAGGCUUUCGAGUCGUAAAGUUCUUUUAUAUGGGAAGAUAAUGACGGUACCAUAAGAAAAAGCCCCGGCUAACUACGUGCCAGCAGCCGCGGUAAUACGUAGGGGGCUAGCGUUGUCCGGAAUCACUGGGCGUAAAGGGUUCGCAGGCGGAAAUGCAAGUCAGGUGUAAAAGGCAGUAGCUUAACUACUGUAAGCAUUUGAAACUGCAUAUCUUGAGAAGAGUAGAGGUAAGUGGAAUUUUUAGUGUAGCGGUGAAAUGAGUAGAUAUUAAAAAGAAUACCGGUGGCGAAGGCGACUUACUGGGCUCAUUCUGACGCUGAGGAACGAAAGCGUGGGUAGCAAACAGG
rnacentral:rRNA from 3 species